rnacentral:rRNA from 1 species
CCUACGAGAGGCAGCAGUGGGGAAUAUUGCACAAUGGGGGAAACCCUGAUGCAGCAACGCCGCGUGAAGGAAGACGGUUCUCGGAUUGUAAACUUCUGUUCUUAGUGAAGAAUAAUGACGGUAGCUAAGGAGCAAGCCACGGCUAACUACGUGCCAGCAGCCGCGGUAAUACGUAGGUGGCAAGCGUUGUCCGGAAUUACUGGGUGGAAAGGGAGCGCAGGCGGGAAGCCAAGUCAGCUGUGAAAACUACGGGCUUAACUUGUAGACUGCAGUUGAAACUGGUUUUCUUGAGUGAAGUAGAGGUUGGCGGAAUUCCGGGUGUAGCGGUGAAAUGCGUAGAUAUUCGGAGGAACACCGGUGGCGAAGGCGGCCAACUGGGCUUUAACUGACGCUGAGGCUCGAAAGUGUGGGGAGCAAACAGGAUUAGAUACCCCAGUAGUC